rnacentral:rRNA from 1 species
UCAGAGAUUAGCUUGCUUUAGUUGUCAGCUAAGUGGCGCACGGGUGAGUAAUGUAUAGGUAAUAUGCCUCUUACUAAGGGAUAACAAUUGGAAACGAUUGCUAAUACCUUAUACUCCUUAUUAACCUAAGUUAAUAAGGGAAAGAUUUAUUGGUAAGAGAUUAGCCUGUAUUGUAUCAGUUAGUUGGUGGGGUAAUGGCCUACCAAGACUAUGACACAUAACUGGUUUGAGAGGAUGAUCAGUCACACUGGAACUGAGACACGGUCCAGACUCCUACGGGAGGCAGCAGUGGGGAAUAUUGCACAAUGGACGAAAGUCUGAUGCAGCAACGCCGCGUGGAGGAUGACACAUUUCGGUGCGUAAACUCCUUUUAUAUGAGAAGAUAAUGACGGUAUUAUAUGAAUAAGCACCGGCUAACUCCGUGCCAGCAGCCGCGGUAAUACGGGGGGUGCAAGCGUUACUCGGGAUCACUGGGCGUAAAGAGCAUGUAGGCGGAUUAAUAAGUUUGAAGUGAAAUCCUAUAGCUUAACUAUAGAACUGCUUUGAAAACUGUUAAUCUAGAAUGUGGGAGAGGUAGAUGGAAUUU